GAAUAUGCCGCAUUGCAUCGAUUGUUGUUGAUGUGGGUGAAUGUUGGAUGACCCAAUUAGUCCAUGACAGGAAGACCAGAACCCCAUUCUACGGCCUGGCACGGAAAUGAAAGACCAGGACCCCAUUCUACGGCCUGGCACGAUUGUGGACUCGAAGACCAGGAGCCCAGAGGAGGCCCUGGGAUAAUGGUAAGUAAUGUAUGUAUGACAGGAAGACCAGGACCCCAUGCUACGGCCUGGCACUAUGUUAGCUUGGACUAAUUGGUGACAAGUUCACCCAACCCUUAUGUGAAUUGUUUGUGUUAUGAUGCAUUUCAU
rnacentral:lncRNA from 1 species